UAAGAGAACAAGUCUGGCGAAGUACGUGAAGCACUUUGAUCGGUUUGUGGAUGGGAUGGCUCGCUCGUGGAAAGGAGAACUUCUCAAAAAGAGCGAUCUUCAGAAAGACUUCUGAGCUGGAUCGACGAUCAGGCAGUGAGACACGACAGAAACUGUUAAAGCUCCUUAUUACUUUUUGUGGAUGACGACACAAACUUUCCUGUUUUGGGGGUUUCAUUUUUUUCUGUAAUGUUGACAUUUUUCUGAUGAACAAUAAUUUCAUCCAGAUCUAAUUUCCAGA